rnacentral:misc_RNA from 2 species
CCGAGUUUACAACUCCCAAACCCCUGUGAACUUAUACCUUUACUGUUGCUUCGGCGGGUUAUUGCCCCGGGGAAACAGGCGGCCGUCAGGUCCCUGCCCACCCGGAAACAGGCGCCCGCCGGGGGACUCAAACUCUUCUGUAUUUUUUUGUUUACUGUAUACUGUCUGAGUAAAAAUUCAUAAUGAAUCA